CCUACGGGAGGCAGCAGUAAGGAAUAUUGGUCAAUGGCCGUAAGGCUGAACCAGCCAAGUCGCGUGAAGGAAGAAGGAUCUAUGGUUUGUAAACUUCUUUUAUAAGGGAAUAAAGGUAUCCACGUGUGGAUAUUUGCAUGUACCCUAUGAAUCAGCCUCGGCUAACUCCGUGCCAGCAGCCGCGGUAAUACGGAGGUUGCGAGCGUUAUCCGGAUUUAUUGGGUUUACAGGGUGCGUAGGUUGUUUUUUAAGUUAGCGGUUAAAGGUUGUGGGUCAACCAUAAAAUUGCCGUUGAAACUGGAAGACUUGAGUGUGUUUGAGGUAGGCGGAAUGCGUGGUGUAGCGGUGAAAUGCAUAGAUAUCACGAAGAACUCCGAUUGCGAAGGCAGCUUACUAAGCCAUAACUGACACUGAAGCACGAAAGCGUGGGGAUCAAACAGGAUUAGAUACCCGGGUAGUC
rnacentral:rRNA from 1 species